rnacentral:tRNA from 1 species
GCGAACGGAUGCGGCCCGGUGGCCGUUCUCGUCUUCAAAACGAGUGGGCGGGGUGACGAGCUUCGCCGGUGGGUUCGACUCCCACGCGUUCGCGCCA